UACGUAGGGGGCAAGCGUUGUCCGGAUUUAUUGGGCGUAAAGAGCUCGUAGGCGGUUUGGUAAGUCUGGUGUGAAAUCUCCACGCUCAACGUGGAGGGGCCACCCGAUACUGCCAUGACUGGAGUCCGGUAGAGGAGUGUGGAAUUCCCGGUGUAGCGGUGAAAUGCGCAGAUAUCUGGAGGAAUACCGGUGGCGAAGGCGGCAUCCUGGACCGGCAUUGACGCUGAUGAGCGAAAGCUAGGGGAGCAAACGGG
rnacentral:rRNA from 1 species